rnacentral:siRNA from 1 species
UAUCGAAUGUCACGUCAUCGCUA